UCUCUCUCUCUCUCUCUCUCUCUCUCUCUCUCUCUCUCUCUCUCUCUCCAUUUCCCUGGUUCACACCCUCCUCUCCUCUCCCGAUCAGUCUCUAUGUGAAGGGAGUUCCGUAUGGUUACAGACUCGGCUGGAAGAAGAAGAAGCAAGGUAUUAAAAUGGAUUGGUGUCAGUCCGAGCGAUGGAAAGGGCAGAAAGUGGAAGAGAACAGAAAGAGAACUUCAAAGAGUUGACGUCGGAGAAGCUGGUGUUGUUAUUGGAGCUUCUGCUGACAUACGGACCUCAGUGUGACGUCAUUGCAUACUAUCCAGAGAACCUAUGAUGUACAGAACAAGGACGCUGAGGUGAGGUAUUGCUGGUGUGAGCUGCUGGUCAAACACAAAUACUCUCAGGCUUAUGGAGAUGUGGAGCACUUCCUCAUUCACCACUAGGU